ACCUCGGUGGUGUAUUGGUAGCACGCAUCCCCGGUAUGGGUGAAACACGGGUUCGUCUCCCGCCUGAGGUC